AUAUCAGGGGGCAUUUCCUUGUCAAAUCUUUGAAUCUUUUCCAUGCUUCAUAUAAGGUUUCACCAUCCUGCUGUCUAAAUGCCUGCACCUCAGUUAUCAAUCU